rnacentral:misc_RNA from 1 species
UCCUCCUUACAGAGGCAGUUUGUUUCGAGUUCCCGGCAUGACCCGCUGGUAACAAAACAUGAGGGUUGCGCUCGUUGCGGGACUUAACCCAACAUCUCACGACACGAGCUGACGACAGCCAUGCAGCAUCUGUGGUGCACCCUCGAAGGUUACACGUUUCCGUGCGCUUGCAGCACCAUGUCAAGCCCAGGUAAGGUUCUUCGCGUUGCGUCGAAUUGAACCACAUGCUCCGCUGCUUGUGCGGGUCCCCGUCAAUUCCUUUGAGUUUUAGCCUUGCGGCCGUACUCCCCAGGCGGGGCACUUAAUGCGUUAGCUUCGGCACCGGAGGAGUCGACACCCCCGACACCUAGUCUGCAUCGUUUACGGCGUGGACUAC